rnacentral:lncRNA from 1 species
UGAUUCUAGUGUCACUACCACAGGUGUUCAUGAGAAAUUUCUUCCAAGUGGGUGCAAAAGACCUUUGGAUUAUUUUAGGAAAAGAAGAAUGUAACAUUCCGUGGUUUUACAUCUACAAAAUCAACUUUUUUUUGGUGCAGGGACUGGUAGCAGGAGAUGGUGCCCUUGUCUUUGGGCAAGGCCAAUGGUGCUUGGAAGAUGUUCCAUAGCUACAAUGUUUAAAGAUUCAGCAUCUGACUCUUCAUGUGGAAUCAGAUUUUCAAACCAAGCAAGGGUAUAUAAAAAUGCAUUAUGCACAUUUGAACGUCUGCAUGUGUGAAGCUCUCGACAGUUCUGAUCAUAAGGAUUCUAUUGAUCUAAAUGGGUUAUUCUGUAGAAAAUCCUGUGAAUAAAUAAAAUAAUGACAGAAACA